CCCCAGAGAAUCAAACACAGGGCUUGAUGGAAGCAAUUUCUGGGCUGGUUUAUUGCACUUAACAAGAAAAUGGAAACCUGACUUGAGAGAGAAAAUCAUUUCUAAGCACUGCACGCUGCUGGGGGUCAGUUUAUGUGGUCACUGAAAACUCCACAGAAGAAAGUGUCUCUACACUCCAGACACACUAAGAGGUCAAAGUGAGGGGGUGAACAGGUCAUCAUACAAACCACAACUUUCCACAGAAGGAAAAAACAAACCAAAUCCAACCAAAAAAAAAAAAAACAAAAAAAAACAAAAAAACGCAGCCCUAAAGGGAAAAUGAAGGAUGCAGAAAUGAAAGGGACCUGAGGACAGACCACAGGGAGUGACAGAAUUGAAAAGCUGCAGGCUUGGUUACUAAAGUAGUGUUGAGAACUACAGAUGCACAUGAUGAGCAGCCCCUGAUUGUCUGACCAGCCUGAGUGGAGAGCACACCUGAGCUCUAAGUGUGUGGUAUGAAGGACUCACAAGGCAUGGCCGGUGUUGUUUGAACCACAGGAGAGCACCCUUUCCCCAGGCCUGAGUCCAGAGACAGCUACUUCCUAGUUCUCAGCUGCCAUCACCGAUCAGAAAAAUUGACUAAACCAACA